GCCUAACACAUGCAAGUCGAGCGGCAGCACAAGUAAGUUACUUAUGAGGUGGCGAGCGGCGGACGGGUGAGUAAUGCCUAGGGAUCUGCCCAGUCGAGGGGGAUAACAGUUGGAAACGACUGCUAAUACCGCAUACGCCCUACGGGGGAAAGGAGGGGACCUUUUGGCCUUCCGCAAAUGGAUAAGCCCAGGUGGGAUUAGCCAGUAGGUGAGGUAAUGGCUCACCUAGGCGACGAUCCCUAGCUGUUCUGAGAGGAUGAUCAGCCACACUGGGACUGAGACACGGCCCAGACUCCUACGGGAGGCAGCGGUAGGGAAUAUUGCACAAUGGGCGCAAGCCUGAUGCAGCCAUGCCGCGUGUAGUGAAGAAGGCCUACGGGUANGUAAAGCACUUNCAGCGAGGAGGAAAGG
rnacentral:rRNA from 1 species